AUUGAACGCUGGCGGCAGGCCUAACACAUGCAAGUCGAGCGGAUGAAGGGAGCUUGCUCCUGGAUUCAGUGGCGGACGGGUGAGUAAUGCCUAGGAAUCUGCCUGGUAGUGGGGGAUAACGUCCGGAAACGGGCGCUAAUACCGCAUACGUCCUGAGGGAGAAAGUGAGGGAUCUUCGGACCUCACGCUAUCAGAUGAGCCUAGGUCGGAUUAGCUAGUUGGUGAGGUAAAGGCCUACCAAGGCGACGAUCCGUAACUGGUCUGAGAGGAUGAUCAGUCACACUGGAACUGAGACACGGUCCAGACUCCUACGGGAGGCAGCAGUAGGGAAUAUUGGACAAUGGGCGAAAGCCUGAUCCAGCAAUGCCGCGUGUGUGAAGAAGGUCUUCGGAUUGUAAAGCACUUUUAGUUGGGAGGAAGGGCAGUGAGUUAAUACCUUGCUGUUUUGACGUUACCAAAAGAAUAAGCACCGGCUAACUUCGUG
rnacentral:rRNA from 1 species